rnacentral:tRNA from 1 species
GUAGCUCAGUGGUAGAGCGUCCGACUGGUGUGCGGAAGGUCGCAGAUUCGACUCCUGAUAAAGCA